GGCACCUGCACCUCCCUCAGAUGGCGGGCAACAGAUGAGAUAUCAGAUUCCCCGGGACAGCAACCUGCUCAGCGAGUGGGUCGAGGAGGCAAGACCAGAACCCAGACGAGAGCACUGAAAUCUCCAGCACAUCGCGUUGCCCAUGAGGCAGUCAUUGCCAUUGAUUGCCCUCCUCCAUCGCGACGCAGGGCAUAUUUGGGGAUCUGUAAUUCACAGACUGAUAUGGGAAGAAGCCCAGCACAGCUCUCAGACCAGCCAGGUCAGCCUUGGCCUAAGGCCCGCCUCUGGCCAGAGGUGACUGGGCUGCCCCUGGCUUCCUGAGGCAAGGAGCAGGAAAGCUCACAGCUCAGCCAGCUCAGC
rnacentral:lncRNA from 10 species